CUUAGGCUGCUAUAUACUGGCUUACUAUCUUAUCUUACUCGGAUUCGGCUGUAUAUUUCUGGUGUUGCUUAAGAUUGCCAUCUCUUGUCCACGCAUGCUCGUUUUAUGGAUUCUGCAUUCCCAGAUCAAUGUCGUUGCUGGCGUUUUGCUGCUGGCUUCCGCUGCUGAUCCUAUUAAUCUUUACUACUUACUUCCCAUACACAAUUUUGUGAAGGUGCUGAGCUUGAUAGCAGAAUUGAUUUUCUACCUAUUAAUGGCCAGCAGAAGCACUGGAAAUGAUGCGUUGUUUGCAUACUCAAUUGUCUCGAUUUUCACACUGCGGGUCAAGUGAAAGCACAUUUUGCUGGCAUCUCGGGAAUUCAGACGCUGUGCAGACCUUCAAAUUGAAUUUACGCCGGCGCUGGGC
rnacentral:sRNA from 1 species